rnacentral:rRNA from 1 species
AUGGCCACGCUGCGUUUCGGCUGCGUCCUCCUCGCUGCCCUGGCCGCGCUCCUCGCCGCGGCGGCCGGCGGCGACCCGGGGAAGAUCGGGGUGUGCCACGGCCGCGUGGGCGGCAACCUCCCCGCGCCGGAGGCGGCCGCGGCGCUGCUGAGGAGUAACGGGAUCACCAAGGCGCGGCUCUUCCUCCCCGACCCGGCCGUGCUCCCGGCCUUCGCCGCGGCCGGCAUCGACCUCACGGUCGGCGUGCCCAACGAGAACCUCACCUUCCUCUCCGCGGCCGGGCCCGAGGGCGCGCUCCAGUGGCUGCGGUCCAACGGACUCGCUGCGGGCCCCGUUGCCGGCCGGCUCCGCUACCUCGCCGUCGGCAACGAGGUGCUCUACAACAACCAGUUCUACGCGCCGCACCUGGUGCCGGCCAUGCGGAACCUGCACGCCGCACUGGCCUCCCUGGGGCUCGACGGCGCCGUCAAGGUCUCCUCCGCGCACGCCUCGUCAGUGCUCGCGUCCUCCUACCCGCCCUCGGCCGGCGCGUUCGACGCCGCCCAGAUGGACGUGCUCCGGCCCAUGCUGCGGCUCCUGGCCGACACCGGCGCGCCAUUCAUGCUCAACGCCUACCCGUUCAUCAGCCACGUGGGCGACCCGGCCAACGUGCCGCUCGCCUACGCGCUCGGCGCCUCCGACGAGCCCGUGGUGCGCGACGGCGCGCUGGCGUACGCGGGCCUGUUCGACGCGACGGUGGACGCGGUGGUGGCGGCGCUCGAGCGGGAGGGCUUCGGCGGCGUGCCCGUGGCGGUGACCGAGACCGGGUGGCCCACCGCGGGGCACCCGGCCGCGACGCCGGAGAACGCGGCGGCGUACAACGGGAGGAUGGCGGAGCGGGCGGCGCGGGGCGUCGGCACGCCGCGCCGGCCAGGGGCGCCCGUGGAGGUUUUCCUGUUCGACCUCUACGACGAGGACGGCAAGACCGGCGCCGAGUUCGAGCGUCACUUCGGCAUCUUCAGGGCCGACGGCGUCAAGGCCUACAACAUCAACUUUGCUUAG